rnacentral:ncRNA from 1 species
CGACAAUAUUAUUGCGUGUUGUAACCGAUGCAUAGCACAUGUGUUGUGUACACUGUAUUGGGACGCAGUGUUUGUGUUGUGUUUCAGUUACACAAUGCACGUUGUGGUGUGGUCACACUUUGAACGUUUCAAACAAGCGUUCCACUUAGGACGUUUCUAACAAGUGGUGCUCCACUUUGAACGUUCCAAACAAACGUGGUACUUUCAAAAAAAGUUGGGAUACGAAAAAAGUUCGACCUGCAUGUCCUUCUGUCCCUAUCUACUAUCUAGCGAAACCACAGCCAAGGGAACGGGCUUGGCAAAAUCAGCGGGGAAAGAAGACCCUGUUGAGCUUGACUCUAGUCUGACUCUGUGAAGAGACAUGAAAGGUGUAGCAUAGGUGGGAGAUUGUCAAUUUGCCAUCGUUCACGCGAUGGUCCGGUGAUCGCCAAUGAAAUACCACUACUUUGAUCGUUUCUUUACUUAUUCGGUAAAGCGAAAAAAUUGUGGCCAAUUUGGCGGC